GUAAGAAAAGUCCUUUUUUUUUUUUUAAUUCACUGUUAUAGCAGCCUCAUGUCAGAGCUGCUUGGGCCCAGCGUGUUCCAGAAUGAAACAGCUCUCUCCGGUUUGACUUACAGCCAUGUCCAACCCUGCACUGAGACCAGCCCCACAGGGCGGGGGCCACCAGAAAGAUCUGAACGGCCUCCUUGGCUUCAGCCAUAGAAAUUUUCUUGCCUCUGGUGGAUCCUGAGGGAUACCUGCCAGCUCGCAGGGAACUCUCCUUCCUGAGAACUGCCAAAGGGAGGGGACCCAGCAAGAGUGUGCAUACAGUGUAUCUCCGCUCCCUGGACACAGCGACGGGACCAGGCAUGGGCAGCUGGCCUGCAGUGGGCCAUUCAGAUGUAUUUCUCACAAGAAUUUGGUGCCGGGGCCAGGAGACACGGGGUCUAUUUCUGUGAGGGCUGGCCCAGGUAACCACGGCCCCCACGUGAGCAGAAAAUCUGAGAAACCACACCCGUGUGCAUGGACAGAGACACAGAGAUGAGAGGGGAAGGAAGGAGCGGGCCGCUGCCCUCCGGCUCCCAGCUCCAGGCCUGUGCUGCCCUGGCUUCCGCGAGGCCUCAUCUCGUCUGUGCCAGCCAGGGCUCUUGGGUGCCUGCAACAGGCCCCACUCUAGCAAGGUUAGCUGACACAGGCAGCCAUCAGGCGACAUUCACGGAGUCUCCAGAAGGGCCAGAGUCAAGCUCAGCCCACAAAGCCAGGAACAGUGUGCAGAUUACCCUGCAAGAAUACACACAGAAGACCACUGCCGUCCACGCCGCCAGGGCCGGGCCACGGGCGCUCCGGCCAGGACCUUCCUCCCACUGUCCUGAGAGCUUGGUCUGUGCCCCAGCGGCGGGAGCCUGCCACUCCGCCCUCCUGGCUUCUACCUUGGGAGGCAGGACAACUGCCCAAGGGGUUCGAAGGGAUCUCAGAGCGUGACCAACAUCGGUGGCAGCACUGUAGUGACGCCUUUCUUUCUACACCCCUUGCUGGCUGCUGCAAGGCCUUCUGAUGCUCAGCACCCUGGUCCCGACCACUGGACCACUGGAGCCGUGGGCAAGACAAGCAAGUGCUCAGGACGCACAGUUUAAGGAGGCACUCAGUCUCCCGCUUGUGGAGCGAGAGGGCCUCCUUCAGUUGGGGUCCCGGGGGCCUCCUGGCCUCACCCCAGCCCGGGCCCUGCUCCUGAGGGAUGUGCUUUCCGGACGCCUCUCAGGCCUUAAGCAAACACGGAGGGGAGGCUCACCUCCACUGGUGUUCCUGGCACAUUUCAACAUAUUUGAAUCCACUUGGAAUCCACUGGAAUGCCUGACACAUUUGUUUGGUUGACUGACUAAUUAAUAAUGAUAACAGGAAGCACUUGCCGCACGCUGACCUUGUGCCAAGCACGUAAGUAUUUAAGCAGCACCACAGCUCUGUGAGGUCAUCACUACGAUUAUCCCCAUUGUAUAACUUCUGAGGCACAGAGAGGUUAA
rnacentral:lncRNA from 1 species